ACUGUGUGAGUGAUAAGUGCUGCUGUGAAGAGAACAACUGUCAGACUGAGUGUUGAACAUCGUCAGUUGCUCCUGUUGACUGAAACCUUGUUGUACAGAUGGAACAUUGUCUGUGGAUUAUUGCUGCUGCUCUGGUCUUUGAGUGUAAAGCACAAGACAGAGUGGUGCAGCCAGCAGGAGAUGUCACUGCUACUGAAGGAGACACACUUACACUUGGUUGUACAUUUCAGACCAGUGACUCAAAUCCUUAUCUCUACUGGUACAAACAGGAUGGAAACAACAGACCCACAUUCAUCCUGAGUCACUUUACAGUGGGUGAAGGUAAAACAGAAGACGACUUCAGGGAGAGAUUUUCAUCCACUCUGGAUUCCACCUCAAGAUCAGUUCCUCUGCAGAUCCAGAAGCUCCAGCUGUCUGACUCUGCUGUGUACUACUGUGCUCUGAGGCCCACAGUGACAGGAAACAACACAACUCUGUACAAAAACCUCUGCAGCAAACAAGUCAAUACUCCACAUGGUCCACUAGAGGGAGUCACACCCUGUCACACCUCAGUGUUUCUCUUCAUCCAGAUUCUUCUUGGUGAAGAUUCACACCAGAGAGAAUGAACAACUAAAGCUGUACUAUUUUUGGGGUGUACCACAGGGUUCAAUCAUUGGUCCUCUCAUUUUCUAAGUAACUGUUUCCAAAUUAUAUUCAAACACAACGACUGUGUCU